AGUGAACGCUGGCGGUAGGCCUAACACAUGCAAGUCGAACGGCAGCACAGGAGAGCUUGCUCUCUGGGUGGCGAGUAGCGGACGGGUGAGGAAUACAUCGGAAUCUACUCUGUCGUGGGGGAUAACGUAGGGAAACUUACGCUAAUACCGCAUACGACCUACGGGUGAAAGCAGGGGACCUUCGGGCCUUGCGCGAUUGAAUGAGCCGAUGUCGGAGUAGCUAGUUGGCGGGGUAAAGGCACACCAAGGCGACGAUCCGUAGCUGGUCUGAGAGGAUGAUCAGCCACACUGGAACUGAGACACGAUCCAGACUCCUACGGGAGGCAGCAGUGGGGAAUAUUGGACAAUGGGCGCAAGCCUGAUCCAGCCAUACCGCGUGGGUGAAGAAGGCCUUCGGGUUGUAAAGCCCUUUUGUUGGGAAAGAAAUCCAGCUGGCUAAUACCCGGUUGGGAUGACGGUACCCAAAGAAUAAGCACCGGCUAACUUCGUGCCAGCAGCCGCGGUAA
rnacentral:rRNA from 1 species